UACGGAGGAGGCAAGCGUUAUCCGGAAUUAUUGGGCGUAAAGCGUCCGUAGAUGGUCGUUUCAAGUCUGCUGUCAAAGACCGGGGCUUAACUUCGGAAAGGCAGUGGAAACUGAACAGCUAGAGUAUGGUAGGGGCAGAGGGAAUUCCUGGUGUAGCGGUGAAAUGCGUAGAGAUCAGGAAGAACAUCGGUGGCGAAGGCGCUCUGCUGGACCAUAACUGACACUCAGGGACGAAAGCUAGGGGAGCGAAUGGG
rnacentral:rRNA from 1 species